UGCUCCGGUAGUGUAGUCCGGCCAAUCAUGGUGGCCUUUCGAGCCAUUGACUCGGGUUCAAAUCCCGGCCGGAGCAU
rnacentral:tRNA from 1 species